rnacentral:rRNA from 1 species
CUACGUGCCAGCAGCCGCGGUAAUACGUAGGGCGCGAGCGUUGUCCGGAAUUAUUGGGCGUAAAGGGCUUGUAGGCGGUUGGUCGCGUCUGCCGUGAAAUUCUCUGGCUUAACUGGGGGCGUGCGGUGGGUACGGGCUGACUUGAGUGCGGUAGGGGAGACUGGAACUCCUGGUGUAGCGGUGGAAUGCGCAGAUAUCAGGAAGAACACCGGUGGCGAAGGCGGGUCUCUGGGCCGUUACUGACGCUGAGGAGCGAAAGCGUGGGGAGCGAACAGGAUUAGAUACCCUGGUAGUCCACGCUGUAAACGUUGGGCACUAGGUGUGGGGGCCACCCGUGGUUUCUGCGCCGUAGCUAACGCUUUAAGUGCCCCGCCUGGGGAGUACGGCCGCAAGGCUAAAACUCAAAGGAAUUGACGGGGGCCCGCACAAGCGGCGGAGCAUGCGGAUUAAUUCGAUGCAACGCGAAGAACCUUACCUAGUCUUGACAU